rnacentral:lncRNA from 1 species
GCCAGAGAGAGAGCGGGUGGCUGAGCUGUGGCCACCAGGCAUCCUGAGCACGCCCCUGCCAUGUUGAGGGUACUGAGCACAAGCUCCUCCCUCAUAGCUUGCCAUGGGGAUGCUCAGAGCCCACCAGGGAUUUGUGGCCAAGCGAUGCAGGAGCAGGAAGUGCUGCCGGCAGGGCAUGAGCCUGUCUGGGUGAAAGUUCGAAGAUGGCUGCUGGGCCACAGGGGACCCUGGGAGACCUCCACAGGCUGCAGCGUGUGCGCUUCUUGUAUGUGCACAAGAGCAGAGCCCUAUGGUCCAGCUGAAUGCAUAAGCAGAUUCUCAGAGACAGAGACGUGGGCAGCAUCUUCGUGUGGACAAAAGCCUGCUCCAGACUUCCCUAGCUGCUCCUCCUGCAGGCGCCUGUUUUUCCUGCUGGUGACUGCGCCCACGUUUCCCAGGGAGCCUCCCUGCUCCAGCGGCAGCCUCUGCACCAGUUUGAACCUGUGCUUUCCUGGAGUCACACCUCCUUGACCAGCUGGGGGCGUCUCGUCAAGAUGGGGGCAAUCGCUCGUGGAGGGCGCUUGGCUACCCCCCAUGCAGUCACCUCAGCAGCAGGUGCACGUAAUUACUACCACACACGUUCACCACCCUGCACCGCCAUUUCCCCUUUAGCAAGACGGGGGUGAGUGUGUGCAUAUGUGAAAAAACAUAAACAGAUUGUACAACAAAGUGUUCUCUAGCUGUCAGCAAGAGCUUUGAAAAUAAAACACUUCCCUCCCA